rnacentral:lncRNA from 1 species
AUGGCUGCCCUGCCUCCUUUUUCUAGAUCCUUCUUUGAUGCCCAGCCUCCUGAUUGGUUGGGUGUUCUUAUCUGAUGUCAUAACAGCUCCGCGCUUUGUGACCAAUGAGCAGUUUUGUUGCGGAAUGGAGAAAGCUGCCUUAGCAACGGUUGACAAGACUACUGGCAUAAGUGCCCGAGUUGUCCAGGUCUCCGGCAUUCAGAGUGACCGGCACCAUGGGUGCUACUCCCAUAUAUAGCCUGCUCUUUCUGUUGUUCCUUGUGACAACUGAAUCUUUCCCCAAAAUAGGUCCUGAUUCUCCUAGUGUGAACAAAACCAAAAUUAACAUUGCUAGUAAAAAUGUUGUUGUUGCGGUUUUGAUUGUUCUGAUUUUGGCCACUUUCAUCUUGACUUCCUGUUUUUGCUUCUUCCACUGGAGAUUCCGAAGAACUCGUUUCAACAAGGAAAAGGUGAAGUAAAAAGCGACUCCGAGAGUACCAUCUAUUCUUCGGACAAGGACCAUCUCAACUUAAAACGAGUCUUCUUGUUCUAACUAAGAAUUGUAAGCUCUGUCAUUAUAAAAUGGCAUAAUAUAAUAAAAACCUGUUAAAAUAAUUGUCUGUUAUAUUG